rnacentral:rRNA from 1 species
CCUACGGGUGGCAGCAGUGGGGAAUAUUGGACAAUGGGGGGAACCCUGAUCCAGCCAUGCCGCGUGUGUGAAGAAGGCCCUCGGGUUGUAAAGCACUUUCAGUGAGGAAGAACGCCUGGUGGUUAAUACCCAUCAGGAAAGACAUCACUCACAGAAGAAGCACCGGCUAACUCCGUGCCAGCAGCCGCGGUAAUACGGAGGGUGCGAGCGUUAAUCGGAAUUACUGGGCGUAAAGCGCGCGUAGGUGGCUUGAUAAGCCGGUUGUGAAAGCCCCGGGCUCAACCUGGGAACGGCAUCCGGAACUGUCAAGCUAGAGUGCAGAAGAGGAAGGUAGAAUUCCCGGUGUAGCGGUGAAAUGCGUAGAGAUCGGGAGGAAUACCAGUGGCGAAGGCGGCCUUCUGGACUGACACUGACACUGAGGUGCGAAAGCGUGGGUAGCAAACAGGAUUAGAUACCCUUGUAGUC